rnacentral:rRNA from 1 species
GACGAACGCUGGCGGCGGGCUUAACACAUGCAAGUCGAACGAUGAUGCCAGCUUUCUGGUGGGUUAGUGGAGUAAGGCGGAGUAACAUGCCAGUAACCUGCCCCUGACUUCGGGAUAACCGCGGGAAACCGGGGCUCAUACCGGAUAUGACGCGCUAUUCCGUGGAGGAUCAGGGCACGAUGUAUUGGGUGGGUAUGGGCUCGCGGCCUUUCAGCUUGGUGGUGGGGUGGUUGGCUACCGAGGCUACGACGGGUAGCCGGCCUGGGGGGGUGGCCAGCCAGACUGGGACCGAGACACGGCCCACACGCCCACGGGAGGCAGCAGUGGGGGAUAUUGCGCAAUGUGCGCAAGGGUGAUGAAGCGACGCCGGGUGAGGGAUGUCGGUCAUCGGGGUGUUAGGGUCUUUCAGUAGGUAAGAAGGCCAUCAGGUUGACGGUACCUGCAGAAGAAGCGCCGGCUAACUACGUG